UACGAAGGGUGCAAGCGUUACUCGGAAUUACUGGGCGUAAAGCGUGCGCAGGCGGUUUUGUAAGCCAGAUGUGAAAUCCCCGGGCUUAACCUGGGAAUGGCAUUUGGGACUGCAAGGCUGGAGUGUGGCAGAGGAGACUGGAAUUCCUGGUGUAGCAGUGAAAUGCGUAGAUAUCAGGAGGAAUACCGAUGGCGAAGGCAGGUCUCUGGGCUGACACUGACGCUGAGGAGCGAAAGCGUGGGGAGCGAACAGG
rnacentral:rRNA from 1 species